ACAUUAAUAGAGAUUAAUAGAUACGAAUUUUAAUUAAGCUUAUCCCUUAUUCUGCAACCAAUACUAGAAGGAUUAUCGGAAUAUCUUGAACACUAGUAGCCUAUUUCAAUGUGCUUAUCCCAUUUCAACCCCAAAGAGAUAUCAACAAAACAAUUUACAUCAGGAAAUUCAUAUUAUUAACAACCAAAACCUAAGUGAAAGAUUAGCUUACAUGAUAUAUCCAUAAUUCCAUAUAAAAAAAGAAGAAAAAAGAAGCUAUAUAAUAUCCAAAUCGUAAGUGUCCAGAUUCCAGAACAUAUAAUGAAUGGAGGACCCCAUUUUGAGAUGGGAAACCUAAGAAAUCAUCACCACAUAUAAAUUCAAACUUGUAUCUCAGUCGCAACAAAUCAUAGUUCGAG
rnacentral:lncRNA from 1 species